CCGCAAUCGCCCUUCGGGGUGCGCAGGCGCGAAAACUUUACAAUGUGCGAAAGCGUGAUAAGGGAAUUCCAAGUGCUUGGCCUUUGAGUCAAGCUUUUACUGAGUGUAAAAAUCUCAGAGAAUAAGUGGUGGGUAAGACGGGUGCCAGCCGCCGCGGUAACACCUGCGCCACGAGUGGGAGCCACUUUUAUUGGGUCUAAAGCGUUCGUAGCUGGAGUAUUAAGUCUCUUGUGAAAUUGUUGCGCUUAACGUAACAUCGUGCAAGGGAAACUAAUACCCUAGAGACUGGGAAGAGAUAGAAGUAUUCCAGGGGGAGCGGUUAAAUGUUAUAAUCCUUGGAAGACUACCUGUGGCGAAGGCGUCUAUCUAGAACAGGUCUGACAGUGAGGGACGAAGGCUAGGGGAGCAAAACGGAUUAGAUACCCGAGUAGUCCUAGCAGUAAACUCUGUGAACUAUGUGUUGCACAAUCUUAGAGAUUGUGCAGUGCCUAAGCGAAGGCGUUAAGUUCACCACCUGGGAAGUACGGCCGCAAGACUGAAACUUAAAGGAAUUGGCGGGGGAGCAC
rnacentral:rRNA from 1 species